UCAUCUCUGGGUACUUCUUUAUUAGAAAAGAAAUUAACAUUCACCCUAAAGACUGCAGAAGGAAAUUAACUUACUCUUGCAAUGCUAGAACAAACUUCACAGUAAGGGAUCCUUAAGUUUUCAGAGAGUAGGGAAAAAAAGGAGAGAGAAAAUAAUUUAGGACCGUGUUUCUUAAAUUUGGCUACUUUCACAGACAUACCCUUGGGGGAGGGAGUUGUAAGUUUUCUGUGAUAACGUUUUAAAUUUCAUGUUUUACUUUGGUUCAUAAUCUAAGCAAAUUAACACAUACUUGUUCAGGAUGACCUGGAUGAGCAUCUUAGGCAAGAGAUGAUCACGGCAUCUCCACCUGGACCUCCGAUCACUGGGCACCAGGAGGCCAACAGUGCUUAAUGUUUCAUGCGGACUUUCUCAAAUGGGGCCCUCAGGCCCUUCAUUUCUUAACUCACUUCUCCAAUUUCUUAACUGUUGAACAUUUCCUGUGAGAGCUGUGAAUUUGUCAAGGUUGAGAACACUGUUUCAGAGCAAAUGAUUCUCAAGAUAGGAGUGGGGUGGAGUGAGGAUGGUAACCAGGGAGACACAUGCAGUUUGAAAAAGUACAUUCAAAAUACUUAUUGAUUUCAUAGUACAAACUCCAUAAAGCCAAACUCAACAAAAUAAUUUUCAGGUAGUAGCAGAAAACCAACUACAGAUUCAUCCUGAGGGGCUUGGGAUAAACUUGGUUGCGAAACACUGGCUUAGAGGUAGACGACCCGGCGCAUGGAGGACAAUCAUAAGAAACAUGUGCCAAAGAGAGAGAACAUCUUUUGAGUCAGUGAGUGAAUUCUAGGCCAUGACUGUCACGGUCUUUUGGAACCCAAAGGGCCGAUCCAGAAGAAACCCAAGACAUCCAUCAACCUUCUCAGAUCUGUGAUUUGGGGCAAGUUGAGCCACUUUUAACACUAAAUCAAAAAAGAAAAAGCUAUUUUUGCCAACCCCCACCCCUCCUUUUUUGGUUAACAUAUUUCAGAAGUAAACAGCUGCUGUAGCUGGGUAAAGGUAGCCCCUGAUCCAUCCACCAGGAAGUGCUGUCAUCAUAGCAAUGCUAUUCAGCUCUCAGGGGGACAUCAGUCUGGGAUCAGCUCUGCUGGGAAAAAAUACAGAGAACUGGAUUUUCUUGGAAAGGUAAAUUCCCCUCAUUUCCCUUUUCA
rnacentral:lncRNA from 1 species